GACGAACCGUGCGAACGUUAUUCGGAAUCACUGGGCUUAAAGGGUGCGUAGGCGGGUUGCCAAGUCUGUGGUGAAAUCCUCCGGCUUAACCGGAGAACUGCCGUGGAUACUGGCGACCUCGAGGGGUGUAGGGGCUUGCGGAACUGUGCGUGGAGCGGUGAAAUGCGUUGAUAUGCACAGGAACUCCGGUGGCGAAAGCGGCGAGCUGGACACCUUCUGACGCUGAGGCACGAAAGCCAGGGGAGCGAACGGGG
rnacentral:rRNA from 1 species